AGCAGAUAGUAGUCUUGUCCCUGUUGUUAAUAAUUCUCUCUCAAAUAAGCAUAACAGACGAUUUGCUAGAUCGUAUCUGAGGGCGAACACAUCACGCUGACACAAAUACAGAGGCAGAUAUGGUUGGCCACUUGUUGGGAGAUUAAAGAAACUGGGGGGAACAGAACUGCUGGAAUGAGGAGGAGAAGGGGUGCUGCCACACAGCAUUCCUUCACAAGACGUCAAAGGAAUCCUCUUGUUAGACUUGACUAAAGUAGGCCUAUUGGAUCAAUGGGCUUUCCUUACACGCUGACACAUCAUUCGACAAAUAAUUCAGUGGCUCUUCUCUAAUUGGGACAGGUGGAGACCCUCCGGAUCUUGGGGUUCUUCAGAUGGCAAUGCCACCUUCCCCAAGACACACUGGGGUGGUUUCCAGGUCACAACGUUAAAAAAAGUUUGUAUUUUUGUGCAUUUUGCCCUCCUCAGUCCAUGGGGAUUCAGGGAGUCAAAGUAACUCUUGCAAAGUAAACAGAAGGGUCAUUUUUCAGAGCUGAAACUGUCCAGAGCUGUAGAACUGCAGGUCCUCCGCCCAAAAAAGUGGGGAAAAGGCAGCAGGGUGGCCCUGAAUGUAUCUCACUGAGGGCCCAUUUUAAGCUGACAUCAGAUGCAUCUACACUAUAGGAAUAAUGUGGUUUCACACCACUUUUUUAACUGCCAUGGCUCCAUCCUACAGCAUCCUGGGAUUUGUGGUUUUUGUGAGCCACCAGCACUCUUUGGCAGAGCAGGCUAAAGAUUUUGUGAAACUACAGACCCCAGCAUUCCAUAACAUGGAGGAUGCUACAAAUGAAGAGGUCUCCCGCAAAGAUUUUGUGUCCAUAUUAUGGUGGGCAGCAAAGACGGAGGUAGCAAGGACUUGGGAACAACCAGCAAGGCUUAGCAACCCAGCUUGGCACAAUUUGGACCCGUGCGUGACUGGACAUUGAAAGAGCACCUUGCGAGAGGCAAAGUAGUUGAAGAUACCUUUGACCAGUGGCAGCUGGCAGGUCCCAUGCGAUCAUGCUUGUUCCAUGGAUGAAUUCUUUCCAAGCUCUCUUUCUUAGGGCCAGAUGAAUCCAGUUCCUUGCCCAGAAACCCUCAGCCCCCAAACUGUUGAGAAGUCAACGCAGCGGUCCACUGACAUGUUUUUCAUCACUCGGCUUGCUGGCAAUGCCAACGACGCAUUCUCUGGACGGCGGAAGCAUCCGCGGAAGAUGGCACUGCCAUCUGAGAAGAAGGGAGACCAAAGGAAGAAAUCAAUGGCGACUCUGUUCAAGUCUGGCAUGGUUUGGGCAUGGUUUAAAGAAGGAAGGUGCACCUUUACUCUCAGGGGAAACCUGGGCAUUGUCCUCCAAAGAAAGCACCUUUUCCAUGUGUUUCCCAGAAAUGAUUGAUUGAUUGAUUGAUUGAAUUUAUAUCCCGCUGUUCUCCUAGCCCAGGAUCUAAGACCACACACAAUAUUUUCAAAACACAAUGCAAUAAAAAUAAACUCUCAAUACGAAAAGUGAAAACAUAACUCAGCUACAUUUCUCUUUUUUAAAAACGCACAUUUCCAAAAGAAAAAUUCAAAACAGCAUCAAACGAUGCUUCAAAGCAUAGUAAAAUAAAAGUCGUCAUCCUCUACCAGGUACCCGCACAGGGUGGCACCAAUGUCAGGGGUGCCACUGCUGAACCGGCAAGCCCUAACUCCAAGGAGA